rnacentral:rRNA from 1 species
GGAGGGUCCGAGCGUUAUCCGGAAUCAUUGGGUUUAAAGGGUCCGCAGGCGGUCUAUUAAGUCAGAGGUGAAAUCCCAUAGCUCAACUAUGGAACUGCCUUUGAUACUGGUUGACUUGAGUCAUAUGGAAGUGGAUACAAUGUGUAGUGUAGCGGUGAAAUGCAUAGAUAUUACACAGAAUACCGAUUGCGAAGGCAGUCCACUAGCUUAGUACUGACGCUGAGGGACGAAAGCGUGGGAGCGAACAGGAUUAGAUACCCUGGUAGUCCACGCCGUAAACGAUGGAUACUAGUUGUUGGAUUUAUCUCAGUACUAAGCGAAAGUGAUAAGUAUCCACUGGGAGUACGGUCGCAAACUAAACUCAAAGGAAUUACGGGGCCGCACAAGGCUAGCAUGUGGUUAAUUC